GGCUCAGAACGAACGCUGGCGGCGUGCUUAACACAUGCAGGUCGAACGCGAAAGGGACUUCGGUCCUGAGUAAAGUGGCGCACGGGUGAGUAACGCGUAGAUAACCUGUCUUCAUGUCUGGAAUAAUACGCCGAAAGGGGUACUAAUACCGGAUAUUCUUGCUUUUCAUAAGUUAUGCAAGCAAAGGUGGCCUCUGCAUAUGCUACUGCAUGAAGAGGGGUCUGCGUACCAUUAGCUAGUAGGUGGGGUAAUGGCCUACCUAGGCGACGAUGGUUAGCGGGUCUGAGAGGAUGAUCCGCCACACUGGCACUGGAACACGGGCCAGACUCCUACGGGAGGCAGCAGUGAGGAAUAUUGCGCAAUGGGGGAAACCCUGACGCAGCGACGCCGCGUGAGUGAGGAAGGCCUUCGGGUCGUAAAGCUCUGUCAAGAGGAAAGAAGUGUACAAUGGCUAAUACCUGUUGUAUUUGACGGUACCUCUAAAGGAAGCACCGGCUAACUCCGUGCCAGCCGCGGC
rnacentral:rRNA from 1 species